rnacentral:rRNA from 1 species
GAUUUCUGACCUGAAACAUUUUGCCGGCCACGGUUUCGUGUGUUAGUGCAUUGUGUUCUGGUCAUCCUUCCAAUCGCUAUUCGGUUUUCUUCAUUGAUUAUCGAGUGGUAUUGGAUCUUUUACUUUGAAAAAAUUAGAGUGUUUCAAGCAGGCUUUAUGCUAUGAAUACAUUAGCAUGGAAUAAUAAUUUAGGACUUCGGUUCUAUUUUGUUGGUUUCUAGGACUGAAGUAAUGAUUGAUAGGGAUAGUUGGGGGUGCUAGUAUUCAGCGGCCAGAGGUGAAAUUCUCGGAUUCGCUGAAGACUAACUUAUGCGAAAGCAUU